rnacentral:rRNA from 1 species
CCAAUAGCGUAUAUUAAAGUUGUUGCAGUUAAAAAGCUCGUAGUUGAAUUUCGGGAUCAAUAUUUCGGUCAUGCCGUUGGUAUGCACUGUUAUCAUUGAUUUCUCACCUUCUAAAGAACCGUAAUGCCAUUAAUUUGGUGUUACGGGGAAUUAGGACUGUUACCUUGAAAAAAUUAGAGUGUUUAAAGCAGGCUCACGCUUGAAUACAUUAGCAUGGAAUAAUGAAAUAGGACAUCCGAUUCUAUUUUGUUGGUUUCUAGGAUCGAUGUAAUGAUUAAUAGGGAUAGUUGGGGGCAUUAGUAUUCAAUUGUCAGAGGUGAAAUUCUUGGAUUUAUUGAAGACUAACUACUGCGAAAGCAUUUGCCAAGGAUGUUUUCAUUAAUCAAGAACGAAAGUUAGGGGAUCGAAGACGAUCAGAUACCGUCGUAGUCUUAACCAUAAACUAUGCCGACUAGGGAUCGGAUGAUGUUAAUUUUUUAAUGACCCAUUCGGCGCCUUACG